UCCGGUUGAUCCUGCCGGAGGUUACUGCUAUCCGAAUCCGAUUAAGACAUGCGAGUCGUUGCCCGCAAGGGCAAGGCGAACUGCUCAAUAAAACGUAGUCAACCUGCCCUUAGGACGGGGAUAAGCCUGGGAAACUGGGGCUAAUACCCGAUAGUUGCCAAAAUCUGGAAUGAUUUGGCGACCAAAGCUUCGGUGCCUAAGGAUGGGACUGCGGCCGAUCAGGCUGUUGUGAGUGUAAUGUACUCACAAACCUAUAACCGGUGGGGGCCAUGAAAGUGGGAGCCCCGAGAUGGAUUCUGAGACAUUAAUCCAGGUCCUACGGGACGCAGCAGUUACGGAACCUCCACAAUGCGCGCAAGCGUGAUGGGGGGAUUCGGAGUGUUGCAGUUUUUAACUGCAACUUUUGGCGAGGUUAGUGCCCUCGCAGAAUAAGUGGUGGGUAAGACGGGUGCCAGCCGCCGCGGUAAUACCCGCGCCACGAGUGGUAAUCGUGAUUAUUGGGCCUAAAGAG
rnacentral:rRNA from 1 species